UUUUGGAAAUACAAUUUGGGACAUUUGGAGGUUAAAUAAGAAAUGACAAUUGGGCCCAAAGGUGGAGGUUUAUUUUUGAUGUGCAUCACAAGAUUUUAUUUUGGAGAAUGCACUUGAUUUUCCUUUAGAGCAGUAACCACAUGGUGUCAUGGCUGGAUUCAUUUUGGGCUUAUUAGAAAAGGGUGCAUCAAUUGGAAAGAGGAGAGUCCAGCCUUCACACGGGCUGCAAGCAAUAAGCAGCACAUCCAGCAAAGAGGAGAGCUCACGUCCAGCAGCUUGAAGAGGAAACACGGUCCAGCAAAUUAAGAAGGAAGCAGCUCAUCCAUUCUUCAUCCAGCUGCUUAAGGAGCUCACGGACAGCCCAGCUUCAGCACGACCCAGCAGGGCCUUGUCCAACAUCUAGCCUUCACACAGCAAGCAGGUGACAAAAGAAGAAGCGGACAGCAGCUUGGAGUGGGAGCCCACGUAUGAGGGGAGUGACAUCCAGCACCUUUGUCUAGCAUCCAGGAGGUGUCACGGCUUGUGUCCAGAACGUGAAGAAGCAAAUCCAGCAGAGGUAACGUCCAGCAGAGAGCACCGGAUUCGGUCCAGCAAGCAUCACCGUCCAGAUUUUGAGAAGGCCUGCACGUCUUGCUGAAAAGAGGGAGGUGCUUGGAGAAGAAGGAUCCAGUAAGCCUUCACACGGACGUGCUCAACCUUUAAUUAAACUUUGGGGGUGCACACGUAGUGAGGUGACGUCCAGCAAUUCACGCGGACAACAACAAGCACCAAACACCUCAUGGGCUGAAUUCAAUUGAGGAUUUGGAGAGUCCAACAUAUUGCUUGCAAACGGAGGGCUUCACACGCGGACAGCAGUUGGGGAGGUGCAUCCCAUGUGUACGAGAAGCGUUCCAGCAGCACAGGCGGGCUGGGAUCUGAUUCACAUCCGGCCUUCACGCGGACACACAGCCAGAUCCAGAUUGUUGCAUCCAGUGGGCACAUGAGGGUUUAAAAACCCGUGGAGUUGAAAGGAAGGCGGGGCUGGACGUGUGAAAGCCAACCGCCACUCUCAUGUGUUUUUGAUCUUUGGCUGGGAACGUUUUUAUUUGGAAAAAAAUGUGAUCGCUGAGGAUUAUUGCUGAUUUUACACACUACCAUUUUCAUUUUGGUUGCAUUUCUUUCCGCCCCUUUUCAUUCUCGGUCGCAGGAGCACACAGCUCAUGGCUAGCUUACUGAGAAACACUUUUUUUUUAAUUGAUCUUUGCUGAUUAAUAAAAGAGCACACGGACGGACAAUAGCUAGCUUUGCUUAAAACCAUUUAUUUGCUUAUAGAUAGGAAGAUGCGCUGAUGUAGGUGCUGGAAGGAGGUGGGCAAUUCACUUUGCUAGAAGAAAAGGGAAGCAUGGUGAUUCACGGGAGAAGAAAGAAGCGCGAAAGCAGAAGAAGUGGCACACACGGUGUUGGAUUUUGGAUGAAUGAGAAGGAGAAAGCUAGAGGUGUUGUCACGGCUGGAGAGGAGUUCACGUACAAGAAGAAUAAGAAGUGGUGAUUCGAUGGAGGCGUGAUUCACUUUUGCUGGAAAGCACACGGACAUUGGAGCAGCUACAGCGGUGUGCACGGCGUCCAGCAGAAGGCACAUGUUGCGUCCAAUAAUACCUUUUUAAUUUUAAAGAAAUGAAUUCUAGUAAUGUUACGUGGAGCAGAGGAGAAAACGGUGAUUUAAAUUGAGAAAAAGGCAUGGCUGCCAUGUCCAGCAGGAAAGCUUCAAGAGGUUGCCUUACUUUUAUUUAGCCUUUCUGCUUGAACUGACACUUGUUUUACAAUUUUCUUGUCCAUGUUGAAAUACAAUGAGCAUUUCACUUUUAGCUCAAGCGUUGCAUUUUAGUAGUCUUAAUGGCGUUUGGAUAUUUAUCUCUUUCGGUUUAAAGUUUUCACUUUUAGCUCAAGCAUUUUAGUAGCCUUAAUUAUGUUCGAAUAUUUAUCUCUUGCGUUGUUCGGUUUAAUGUUUUCAUUCAACUUAAUAUUAUGUAUGUUAUUCGGUUGUGAUAAUUUAGUUGAAUGUUAGCUUAAGUUAGUUGUAUUUGGAUUUGAGUAGUGUGUAAUUGUCGUUAAUCUGUGAUUGGAAGCAUGUAAUUGAAUUAGUGACAAACCGUUUUAAAUUCUUUGUUUACAUUUGUGUUUAUAUUCGUGUUUUAGUUUAGUUCAUUUGCAUUCACAAAAUCUUCACCAACCCCCCUUCACUACGUGUUUGACAUAAUUCUCAAACCACAUUUGGUCCUUGAGAGACGACCUAGGAGUCACUUCCUAGCACUAUACUGCAUUUUUAAUGCACAUCAAAUUUGAUGGGCCGCGACAGCCGCAUCAAAUUUUGGCGCCAAUGCCGGGGACCAACGGUUCGGUAUUAGGUCUUUUGUUGUGUUAGUGUGUGUUGUGUUUUGUCUUGUGUUGUGAGUGUGAUGUUUUGUUUUGUGUGUACGUUAUUGUGUGUGCGUGUUGCAUGUUUAAUUGUGAUGUUUUUUGUUUGUUUCGUAAUUUUUAGCAUUUCCUUUCUUCCUUCCCCCUUCUUUUUCCAUGUCUACCUAUUUUGAUUUUGUAAAUACUGCUUCUUCUGCCUGUGCCUAUGACUAUGAUUCUCCUUCUGCAUAUUACUUUGAUUAUGGUUCUCAUGCUGAAUCCUAUGUUGAGAACAAUAUGACACAUCCUCCCAUUCUUGAGUGCUCUUUGGGAGCCAGUUUCACUUAAUGAGGAUGAUGUUCAUUGCGUUCUCACCUCUGGAUUGAUACAUUUGCUGCCUAAGUUUCAUGGUUUUGCAGGUGAAUGCCCACACAGACAUUUGGAGGAAUUCCACAUCACGUGCUCUUCAAUGAAACCUCCACAUGUCCUAGAGGACGAUAUGUUCUUAAAGGCAUUUUCGCAUUCAUUACAAGAAGCCGCAAGGGAUUGGCUUUAUUAUCUUCCUCCAGAAUUCAAGGCCAGUUGGGAAGAUCUUAAGCAUCUGUUUUUGGAUAGAUUCUUUGCUACUCAACAUCAUUUUGAUUCAUAUAGCAAGGAUCCUGGAUGGAAUGAUCCUAACUUGGGAUGGUAUGAUGCUCCACAACAAUAUCAGCCAUCUCAAAAUACCGGGAUGCCUCCACCAGUCUAGCAAUACCAGAGUCAGCAAUAUGAUGCUCCUGCCCAAAUAGCUCCUCAGCCUUCUACUUCUGAGCCUACAUUGGAGGAGUUACUGAGGCAGAUGGCCAUGCAGAACAUUGAGUUCAUGAAAGAUACCAGAGCAUCCAUUCAAAGCUUGAAUGAUCAGAUGGGGCAGAUGGCUAUUCAGCUUGCUCAGGAACAAUCUCAACAUUUUGAGGAAUUGUCAUUUCAGACUGUUCAGCUUCCAGAUGAUGUUAGUGCCAUCAACAUAGGAGAUGAGGAGUAGAGUCAUGAGCUUACUACUACGUCACCUACUUUCCUAUCCUUCUAUGUCCCCACUCUUGAACAUGAGGAAACUGAUGAAGAUUUUGAGGACCAGACAGGUAUAAGCAGUAAUUUUGAGUCAGGAAAAAUUUUGAAAAUAUAAUUUGGGACAUUUGGAGGUUAAAUGAGAAAUGGCAAUUGGGCCCAAAGGUGGAGGUUUAUUCUUGAUGUGCAGCACAUGAUUUUAUUUUGGAGAAUGCACUUGAUUUUCCUUUAGAGCAACAACCACAUGGUGUCAUGGCUGGAUUCAUUUUGGGCUUAUUAGAAAAGGGUGCAUCAAUUGGAAAGAGGAGAGUCCAGCCUUCACACGGGUUGCAAGCAAUAAGCAGCACAUCUAGCAAAGAGGAGAGCUCAUGUCCAGGAGCUUGGAGAGGAAACACGGUCCAGCAAAUUAAGAAGGAAGCAGCUCAUCCAUUCUUCAUCCAGCUGCUUAAGGAGCUCACGGACAUCCCAGCUUCAGCACGACCUAGCAGGGCCUGGUCCAACAUCCAGCCUUCACACAGCAAGCAGAUGGCAAAAGAAGAAGCGGACAGCAGCUUGGAGUGGGAGCCCACGUAUGAGGGGAGUGACGUCCAGCACCUUUGUCUAGCAUCCAGGAGGUGUCACGGCUUGUGUCCAGAACGUGAAGAAGCAAGUCCAGCAGAGGUAACGUCCAGUAGAGAGCACCGGAUUCGGUCCCGCAAGCAUCACCGUCCAGCUUUUGAGAAGGCCUGCACGUCUUGCUGAAAAGAGGGAGGUGCUUGGAGAAGAAGGAUCCAAUAAGCCUUAACACGGACGUGCUCAACCUUUAAUUAAACUUUGGGGGUGCACACGUAGUGAGGUGACGUCCAACAAUUCACGCGGAAAACAGCAAGAACCAAACACCUCACAGGCUGAAUUCAAUUGAGGAUUUGGAGAGUCCAGCAGAUUGCUUGCACACGGAGGGCUUCACACGCGGACAACAGUUGGGGAGGUGCAGCCCAUGUGCACGAGAAGCGUUCCAGCAGCAUAGACGGGCUGGGAUCUGAUUCACAUCCGGCCUUCACGCGGACACACGGCCAGAUCCAGAUUGCUGCAUCCAGUGGGCACAUGAGGGUUUAAAAACCCGUGGAGUUGAAAGGAAGGGGGGGCUGGACAUGUGAAAGCCAUCCGCCAUCCUCAUGUGUUUUUGAUCUUUGGCUGGGAACGUUUUUAUUUGGAAAAAAAUGUGAUCGCUGAGGAUUAUUGCUGAUUUUACACACUGCCAUUUUCAUUUUGGUUGCAUUUCUUUCCGCCCCUUUUCAUUCUCGGUCACAGCAACAUACAACUCAUGUCCGCCCCUUUUCACUUUGCUGGAAAGCACACGGACAUUAGAGCAGCUACAGCGGUGUGCACGGCGUCCAGCAGAAGGCACAUGUUGCGUCCAAUAAUACCUUUUUAAUUUUAAAGAAAUGAAUUCUAGUAAUGUUACGUGGAGCAGAGGAGAAAAUGGCGAUUUAAAUUGAGAAAAAGGAAUGGCUGCCAUGUCUAGGAAAGCUUCAAGAGGUUGCCUUACUUUUAUUUAGCCUUUAUGCUUGAACUGACACUUGUUUUACAAUUUUCAUGUCCAUGUUGAAAUACAAUGAGCAUUUCACUUUUA